GACGAACGCUGGCGGCGUGCUUAACACAUGCAAGUCGAACGGAAAGGCCCUGCUUUUGUGGGGUGCUCGAGUGGCGAACGGGUGAGUAACACGUGAGUAACCUGCCCUUGACUUUGGGAUAACUUCAGGAAACUGGGGCUAAUACCGGAUAGGAGCUCCUGCUGCAUGGUGGGGGUUGGAAAGUUUCGGCGGUUGGGGAUGGACUCGCGGCUUAUCAGCUUGCUGGUGGGGUAGUGGCUUACCAAGGCUUUGACGGGUAGCCGGCCUGAGAGGGUGACCGGCCUCAUUGGGACUGAGAUACGGCCCAGACUCCUACGGGACGCAGCAGUGGGGAAUAUUGCACAAUGGGCGGACGCCUGAUGCAGCAACGCCGCGUGCGGGAUGACGGCCUUCGGGUUGUAAACCGCUUUCGCCUGUGACGAAGCGUGAGUGACGGUAAUGGGUAAAGAAGCACCGGCUAACUACGUG
rnacentral:rRNA from 1 species